UGGGGAAUAUUGCACAAUGGGCGCAAGCCUGAUGCAGCCAUGCCGCGUGUAUGAAGAAGGCCUUCGGGUUGUAAAGUACUUUCAGUCGGGAGGAAGGUGGUAAGGUUAAUAACCUUGGCAAUUGACGUUACCGACAGAAGAAGCACCGGCUAACUCCGUGCCAGCAGCCGCGGUAAUACGGAGGGUGCAAGCGUUAAUCGGAAUUACUGGGCGUAAAGCGAACGCAGGCGGUUGAUUGAGUCAGAUGUGAAAUCCCCGGGCUUAACCCGGGAAUUGCAUCUGAUACUGGUCAGCUAGAGUCUUGUAGAGGGGGGUAGAAUUCCAUGUGUAGCGGUGAAAUGCGUAGAGAUGUGGAGGAAUACCGGUGGCGAAGGCGGCCCCCUGGACAAAGACUGACGCUCAGGUGCGAAAGAGUGGGGAGCAAACAGG
rnacentral:rRNA from 1 species